rnacentral:rRNA from 1 species
UGGGGAAUAUUGGACAAUGGGCGCAAGCCUGAUCCAGCCAUGCCGCGUGUGUGAAGAAGGCCUUAGGGUUGUAAAGCACUUUCAGUGGGGAGAAAGGUUAUUCACCUAAUACGUGAGUAAAUUGAUGUUACCCACAGAAGAAGCACCGGCUAACUCCGUGCCAGCAGCCGCGGUAAUACGGAGGGUGCAAGCGUUAAUCGGAAUUACUGGGCGUAAAGCGCACGUAGGUGGUUUGUUAAGCUAGCUGUGAAAUCCCCGGGCUCAACCUGGGCACUGCAGUUAGAACUGGCAAGCUAGAGUAGGGUAGAGGGGUGUGGAAUUCCAGGUGUAGCGGUGAAAUGCGUAGAUAUCUGGAGGAACAUCAGUGGCGAAGGCGACACCCUGGACUCAUACUGACACUGAGGUGCGAAAGCGUGGGGAGCAAACA